UUCAAAAAAAAUAACAGAGAAGCUCUGCUAGGGUUCCUCUUUUAUGCCGCCGCCGCCAAUCGAGGCAUACCACGGCCUCCGUCGACACCCCGGUCUCCGAUCGCGAGGGAGAGGGGCGCCAACUCAGCGAUUCCGACGAAAAAAGGUAUGUUCGUCCCUUUUCUUUAUAUUUUAAACAAAAAUAAAUAAAAAUAAAAAGAAACUAUAUAAAAAAAAUAAGAUAUAUGUAUAUAUGAAAAAAAAUAAAAGAAUGAUAAUCCCCACCCAGUUUUACACUGAAAAUAUUGGCCUUUUAUAGCCGAAAAUAAUAACGAAAAAUAUAAAAAAAAUACAAAUCCCCUAUUUUUCGUUAUUUUGCUGUUGUCGUUGGUUGUUUGUUGCUGCAGGUACGGCCAGUCAACGUCGAGGCAAACGUGCGCGAAGUGCGCGGGGCUACUGUUGGGAUGUGCGGCGACUGCGGGCAAAUGCUGUUAGGGUUUCUGAAAUUUUAAUGUUUGGGCUAGGUUAAUUUAGGUUUUGGGCUGUUAAUUGGGCCUGUUUAUUGGUUUGGGCCCGGGCAUAUUUGGGCUUGUACAUAUCAUAUUAAAAAUAUUAAUUGCAUUAUAAUUUUUUAUCAUGUUAUUGUCAUUUUUCUAUAACACGUUAAAAAGAG
rnacentral:lncRNA from 1 species